AGAGUUUGAUCCUGGCUCAGGAUGAACGCUGGCGGCGUGCUUACCCAUGCAAGUCGAACGAAGCACUUUGAUGGAUUCUUCGGAAGAAAGAGAAGUGACUGAGUGGCGGACGGGUGAGUAACGCGUGGGUAACCUGCCUUAUACAGGGGGAUAACAGUUAGAAAUGACUGCUAAUACCGCAUAAGCGCACAGGACUGCAUGGUCUUGUGUGAAAAACUCCGGUGGUAUAAGAUGGACCCGCGUCUGAUUAGCUAGUUGGUGGGGUAACGGCCUACCAAGGCGACGAUCAGUAGCCGACCUGAGAGGGUGACCGGCCACAUUGGGACUGAGACACGGCCCAAACUCCUACGGGAGGCAGCAGUGGGGAAUAUUGCACAAUGGGGGAAACCCUGAUGCAGCAACGCCGCGUGAUUGAAGAAGUAUUUCGGUAUGUAAAGAUCUAUCAGCAAGGAAGAAAAUGACCGGUACUGGUUGACUAAGAAGCCCCGGGUAACUACGUGCCAGCAGCCGCGGU
rnacentral:rRNA from 1 species